GCCACACUGGGACUGAGACACGGCCCAGACUCCUACGGGAGGCAGCAGUGGGGAAUAUUGCACAAUGGGCGCAAGCCUGAUGCAGCGACGCCGCGUGAGGGAUGACGGCCUUCGGGUUGUAAACCUCUUUCACCAGGGACGAAGCGGAAGUGACGGUACCUGGAGAAGAAGCACCGGCCAACUACGUGCCAGCAGCCGCGGUAAUACGUAGGGUGCGAGCGUUGUCCGGAAUUACUGGGCGUAAAGAGCUCGUAGGCGGUUUGUCGCGUCGUCUGUGAAAUUCUGCAACUCAAUUGCAGGCGUGCAGGCGAUACGGGCAGACUUGAGUACUACAGGGGAGACUGGAAUUCCUGGUGUAGCGGUGAAAUGCGCAGAUAUCAGGAGGAACACCGGUGGCGAAGGCGGGUCUCUGGGUAGUAACUGACGCUGAGGAGCGAAAGCGUGGGUAGCGAACAGGAUUAGAUACCCUGGUAGUCC
rnacentral:rRNA from 2 species